CCUACGGGUGGCUGCAGUCGAGAAUCUUCGGCAAUGGGCGCAAGCCUGACCGAGCGACGCCGCGUGCGGGAUGAAGGCCCUCGGGUUGUAAACCGCUGUCGAGGGGGACGAAAUUUCAGUGGGUACUCCCAUUGAAUUGACCGAUCCCUGGAGGAAGGGUGGGCUAAGUUCGUGCCCGCAGCCGCGGUCAGCCGAACCACCCAAACGUUAUUCGGAAUUACUGGGCUUGAAGCGUUUGAAAGGUGCCUUGGAAAUCCCACAGCUCAAGUGUGGAACUGCGCUGAAAACUAUAAGGCUAGAGGAAUAUAGAGGUGAGCAGAACAGAUGGUGGAGCGGUGAAAUGCGUUGAUAUCAUCUGGAAUACCGGAGGCGAAGGCGGCUCACUGGGUAUUUUCUGACGCUGAGGUACGAAAGCUAGGGGAGCGAACGGGAUUAGAUACCCUAGUAGUC
rnacentral:rRNA from 1 species